rnacentral:rRNA from 1 species
GAUGAACGCUAGCGGCAGGCCUAACACAUGCAAGUCGAGCGCGCCCUUUUGGGUGAGCGGCGGACGGGUUAGUAACGCGUGGGAACGUACCCUUCUCUAAGGAAUAGCCUCUGGAAAACGGAGAGUAAUACCUUAUACGCCCUUCGGGGGAAAGGAUUUAUCGGAGAGGGAUCGGCCCGCGUUAGAUUAGAUAGUUGGUGGGGUAACGGCCUACCAAGUCUACGAUCUAUAGCUGGUUUUAGUAGGAUGAUCAGCAACACU